rnacentral:rRNA from 1 species
UAACUUGUACGUUUGCCGGUCUUGAGAUAGAGUCUUCCCUUCGGGGGACAAAGUGACAGGUGGUGCAUGGUUGUCGUCAGCUCGUGUCGUGAGAUGUUGGGUUAAGUCCCGCAACGAGCGCAACCCUUAAGCUUAGUUGCCAUCAUUAAGUUGGGCACUCUAGGUUGACUGCCGGUGACAAACCGGAGGAAGGUGGGGAUGACGUCAAAUCAUCAUGCCCCUUAUGAUUUGGGCUACACACGUGCUACAAUGGACAAUACAAAGGGCAGCUAAACCGCGAGGUCAUGCAAAUCCCAUAAAGUUGUUCUCAGUUCGGAUUGUAGUCUGCAACUCGACUACAUGAAGCUGGAAUCGCUAGUAAUCGUAGAUCAGCAUGCUACGGUGAAUACGUUCCCGGGUCUUGUACACACCGAA